GUUUGAUCCUGGCUCAGAUUGAACGCUGGCGGCAUGCCUUACACAUGCAAGUCGAACGGUAGCGCGGGGCAACCUGGCGACGAGUGGCGAACGGGUGAGUAAUGCAUCGGAACGUGCCCUGGAAUGGGGGAUAACGUAGCGAAAGUUACGCUAAUACCGCAUAUUCUGUGAGCAGGAAAGCAGGGGAUCGCAAGACCUUGCGUUCUGGGAGCGGCCGAUGUCGGAUUAGCUAGUUGGUGGUGUAAAGGCCUACCAAGGCGACGAUCCGUAGCGGGUCUGAGAGGAUGAUCCGCCACACUGGGACUGAGACACGGCCCAGACUCCUACGGGAGGCAGCAGUGGGGAAUUUUGGACAAUGGGCGGAAGCCUGAUCCAGCCAUGCCGCGUGAGUGAAGAAGGCCUUCGGGUUGUAAAGCUCUUUCGGUGGGGAAGAAAUUGCACGGGCGAAUACCCUGUGUAGAUGACGGUACCCGACUAAGAAGCACCGGCUAAUACGUG
rnacentral:rRNA from 1 species